GAGACACCCUUCUGGGGCAAGACUUGCUUCAGUGGGGCUUUGGUGCUCACUGAGUCUGCCCCCUGAGUGUGUCCCG
rnacentral:pre_miRNA from 1 species